rnacentral:rRNA from 1 species
GAGUUUGAUCCUGGCUCAGAUUGAACGCUGGCGGCAUGCCUUACACAUGCAAGUCGAACGGCAGCACGGGAGCUUGCUCCUGGUGGCGAGUGGCGAACGGGUGAGUAAUGGCAUCGGAACGUAUCCUGGAGUGGGGGAUAACGUAGCGAAAGUUACGCUAAUACCGCAUAUUCUGUGAGCAGGAAGCGGGGGACCUUCGGGGCCUCGCGCUCUUGGAGCGGCCGAUGUCGGAUUAGCUAGUUGGUGAGGUAAAGGCUCACCAAGGCGACGAUCCGUAGCAGGUCUGAGACGGAUGAUCGUGCCACACUGGAAC